UCGUCGUUUCUGGAAUUGUGGGGUUUCCUUCUGUGCUUCUGCAAGUCCCACCCACCAUCCGCACACAAUACUUCUCUCUCUCUCUCUCUUCCCAAUAUCUUCUUUGUAGCUAAACCUUGCAACUCUCUCUCUCUCUCUCUUCAGAUAUUGGCGCUGAGGAUUCUCAUCUUUUUUGCCUCUCUUCUCCUUUGACUCUGUAGUCUCUUCAGUCCAUGGCAGAACCCAUGGGUUCUGCUUCUCUCGCUAUCGCAAAACUUGAGGCAGAUCCAGACCCCAAUGACCAGUCCACUGCUCUCCUCCAACCCUCCUUUGCAACUCGGGUCUUCACUUCCAGACAAAGGGCCUGUUCUGCCCUCGUCUUCAUUGUCAUGCUCAUAAUCACCUGCGUAUCCACGGCUUCCGCAAUUGCCUUUGCCUUCCUUCUCUUUCGAGGCCCCAACAGUGGCUCCCUUCGCCUUGAACGGGCCAGGCCUAUUCAAAAUCCAACUGUAAUUCUGGUUUCCUCGGAUGGGUUUCGAUUUGGAUACCAGUUCAAAACCCAAACGCCUAACAUCGAUAGGCUCACCGCUAAUGGGACUGAAGCGGAAGCUGGUAUGAUCCCUGUUUUCCCGACUCUCACGUUUCCAAACCAUUAUUCCAUUGUUACCGGCCUCUAUCCUUGUUCGCAUGGGAUCAUAAGCAAUGGUUUUCCAUAUGGUAAUGAUACUUUCACCAUGAAGAGCCAUGAACCUAAGUGGUGGCUUGGUGAGCCCCUGUGGGAGACUGUAACAAAGAAUGGGUUGAAAGCUGCUACUUAUUUCUGGCCUGGUUCAGAAGUGAAGAAGGGGAAUUGGGAUUGCCCGCCUUCUCUCUGUAAAAAAUAUGAUGGGUCGAUCCCGUUUGAAGAGAGAGUUGACACUGUGUUGAGCUACUUUGAUCUUCCUGUUUCAGACAGGCCUGUGUUCAUGACUCUCUAUUUUGAGGACCCCGACCACCAGGGCCACAAGGUUGGGCCUGAUGAUCCGGAGAUCACAGAGGCCAUUUCGAUGAUCGAUAAGAUGAUGGGUAGAUUGAUACAAGGUCUAGAGAGGAAAGGGGUUUUCGAGGAUGUCACUAUUUUAAUGGUUGGAGAUCAUGGAAUGGUGGGCACUUGUGAUAAGAAGCUAAUUUUUCUUGAGGAUUUGGCACCUUGGAUUGAGAUACCACAUGAUUGGGUUCAGUCUUAUAGUCCUUUGCUUUCGAUCAGGCCUCCUCAUGGAAUCUCGCCAUCUGAAGUUGUUGCUAAAAUGAGAGAGGGAUUGAGUUCAGGGAAAGUUAAAAAUGGGAUGUAUUUGAAGGUUUACUUGAAAGAGGAUCUGCCUGAAAGGUUGCACUAUUCUUACAGUGAUAGGAUCCCCCCAAUUGUCGGGUUAAUUGAGGAAGCAUACAAGGUGGAGCAGAAGACUUCGAAGCGACAGGAAUGUGGGGGUGCACAUGGUUAUGACAAUGAGUUCUUCUCAAUGAGGACUAUUUUCAUUGGCCAUGGCCCUCAAUUUGCGAAGAGUAGAAAGGUCCCCUCUUUCAUGAAUGUAGAGUUAUACAAUACCGUCACCUCCAUCCUUAAGAUACAAGGAGCUCCCAACAAUGGAACUCCAUCUUUUCCGAGUACCAUUCUUCUUCCCGGCACCUGGAGUUGAAUAAUGUUAUUUUAUAACACGAAGUCGCAUGGGAUUGAACAAUGAAUUUUAUAACAUGAAGUUAUGAACAAGGGUGACCAUCCUUGACACUAUUUGAGAGAUUAUUGCAUCUUAGAGAAAUCGACUCAUGUGGGGAGUGGUUUUCUUUAAGCGACUACUGAUGUACUAGGAUCUGUGCUUUUAUCGGUAUCACAUAUCUUCUGAUAUUUAUCAGAGCUUAAGGGUCUUUUCAGCUUUAGAAUUAAAGUUAUUGUGUUGAAGGGUAUUUCGAGAAUGUUGGAACUCAUGGGGGAAGAAUAUAAGUACAUAAUUCUUGAAGUCUCAAACAGAAGGAUCAAUUGUUCCCUGGUUCCUUGAGAAAUGUAGCUCAGACUAGGAGAAAGUGGACAUGUACUAGAUGUCAUGGUACUGUUUUCCCACGCUAAUGUAGCAUAUUUU